UACGUAGGUGGCGAGCGUUGUCCGGAAUUACUGGGUGUAAAGCGCGUGUAGGCGGCAGGCCAAGUCGGUGGUGAAAGCGCCCGGCUCAACUGGGCGAGGUCCAUGGAAACUGGUCAGCUGGAGGACGGUAGAGGCGAGUGGAAUUCCCGGUGUAGUGGUGAAAUGCGCAGAUAUCAGGAAGAACACCAAUGGCGAAAGCAGCUUUCUGGGACGGUACUGACGCUGAGACGCGAAAGCGUGGGGAGCGAACAGG
rnacentral:rRNA from 1 species